UACUUUCAAAUGGGAAACUCAGAGACCAUGUUCCCGAGUUGACUUGAACAAAGCAUCAAACAUGUACUAUGUGACGCACACAACGUCAUUUCUUGAUAACCAAAAUGGAGGACUACUCAUCCAAGCAAUCAGUUGAAAAUCUUGACAAUCCUCCUAACAGUCGGUUGUUUCUCGUAACAAGUCGAUCAGUUUCAGAUGAUGUUAUUCGAGAGAAAUUUUCUGUAUUUGGAGAGGUCCAAGGUGUAUGGGUCGUUAAGGACAAACAGACGAAAGAAUCGAAGGGGAUCUCCUAUGUUAAAUUCGCGAAGUCUUCGGAAGCAUGCACCGCCAUGGAGGACAUGCAUGGAAAAUGCCUGUUAGACGGAACGAAGCCCAUUAAGGUGUUCAUUGCCCAGUCAAGGUCCUCCGGUAGACACAGAGAUGUGGAGGAUGAAGAGCUCACCAGAAUAUUUGUAAAGAUUCCCAAAACGUUCACAGAAGAAGAUCUGAAAGACACGUUCAAGGAGUAUGGGGACAUAGAAUACUGUGUGAUCAUAAAGAAUAAAACCACGGGGGAGAGCAAAGGCUUGGGAUAUGUGAGGUAUCAUAAGCCAUCACAAGCAGCCAUUGCCAUUGAGAACUGUGAUAGAGCCUACAGGGCUGUUCUUGCUGAGCCCCGAAGCAAGAACUCAUCUGCAGAUAAUGACUAUCACAACAGUGGCAGAGCAGAGCACAUGUCAAGUGACCUGGGAAUGAACCCCUAUUCCUUUGGAGUGUCUGACCCUGGCAGUUAUGCCGUAACUGACUACCGAUCCAGUGACCUCAUCACCAGGUGCCUAAUGGUUUCCUCGAGAGCUAAUGUUACUCAGGAGCAGAUUUAUGGCCUCUUUGACCUCAUACCAGGGAUGGAUUACUGUGAGAUGCAGCGGGAUCAUUGUGGGCUCAACAAAGGACAUACUGUGAUUCGCUACAACAACCUGGGCUCUGCCGUCUAUGCCAAAGAGAAGCUGAAUGGCUUUGAGUAUCCCCCUGGAAACCGCCUCAUCGUGGCCCACAUAGAGGAUGGAGAAGACAGGACCAGUCCUGUCGGGAAGAUGGCAAUGCAGCUGGUUGCUGCUCAGAUGAUGUCAAUGGUGUGGAAUGGUCCUACCACCAGCCAGCAACUGAUGAAGAUGAAUACAGGUUACCGCACAGCCUCUCCGAUGCCCCGCGUCCAGACAGAUGUAUCACUUCCCUCUCUGAAGAACCUGGCACCCCCAGAUAGCCGGGUUAAGGAGCGUCUCUUUGUGGUCUUCAGCCCUGCACCUCUUCCCAUGGACGUCCUGGAAGAUGUCUUCUGUCGAUUUGGUUCCCUUGUGGAGGUGCACCUCGUGCCUGGGAGGAACGUAGGCUACAUGAAGUACGCAGAGAAAGAGAGUGCGGGCGACGCUAUGGCUGCCUUGCAUGGUAAAAUGGUGAACGGAGUGAGGAUGAAGGUGAUGCUGGCUGACCCGCCCAGGGAACCAAGGGAGGAGUCCCACAAGCGCCCGCGGACAUACUAGCCAAUUCCUAGGUAAAAGAGGUCCAUUGUCACUAAUAUGUGAUGUUGAAGUUUGUCUCUGCUCAGCUGACAGACAGGAGAUACAGGAAUCCAUUCUGUUCCAAAACCUGGAGAUCUUCACUGGUUCUGAGGGAGGUGACGUUGCUACAAACAAUGCCUGGGACAGCUUCUAGCGCUACUGUUAUCUGGAGAACAGCCAGAGAGUGGUCAAGACAUCUGCCACAACUUCAUCUUUAGUGUGUCAGCUCUGCUGCACCUGGGUGCUAAAGAUUGAUCUGGCUUGCUGAUAACGUCUGAUCUGAUGAGACUCCCGAUGUGAUUUGAAUCCUGUAUUAAUGACUUCAAUAAAACUUCCAAUGCCAAAUUGAGAUUGGUUUUCAAAUCAAAUCAAAUUUUAUUUGUCACAUACACAUGGUUAGCAGAUGUUAAUGCGAAAUGCUUGUGCUUCUAGUUCCGACAAUGCAUUAAUAACCAACGAGUAAUCUAACCUAACAAUUCCACAACUACUACCUUAUACACACAAGUGUAAAGGGAUAAAGAAUAUGUACAUAAAGAUAUAUGAAUGAGUGAUGGUACAGAAUGGCAUAGGCAAGAUGCAGUAGAUGGUAUCGAGUACAGUAUAUACACAUGAGAUGAGUAAUGUAGGGUAUGUAAACAUAAAAGUGCAUAGUUUAAAUUGGCUAGUGAUACAUGUAUUAUAUAAAGAUGGCAGAGUACAGUAUAUUAAGUGGCAUUGUUUAAAGUGGCUAGUGAUACAUUUUUGAUCAAUUUCCAUUAUUAAAGUGAGCUGGAGUUGAGUCAGUAUGUUGGCAGCAGCCACUCGCUGUUAGUGGUGGCUGUUUAACAGUCUGAUGGGCUUGAGAUAGAAGCUGUUUUUCAGUCUCUCGGUCCCUGCUUUGAUGCACCUGUACUGACCUCGCCUUCUGGAUGAUAGCGGGGUGAACAGGCAGUGGCUCGGGUGGUUGUUGUCCUUGAUUAUCUUUAUGGCCUUCCUGUGACAUCGGGUGGUGUAGGUGUCCUGGAGGGCAGGUAGUUUGCCCCCAGUGAUGCGUUGUGCAGACCUCACUACCCUCUGGAGAGCCUUACGGUUGUGGGCGAAGCAGUUGCCGUACCAGGCGGUGAUACAGCCCGACAGGAUGCUCUCGAUUGUGCAUCUGUAGAAGUUUGUGAGUGCUGUUGGUGACAAGCCGAUUUUCUUCAGCCUCCUGAGGUUGAAGAGGCGCUGCUGCACCUUCUUCACAACGCUGUCUGUGUGGGUGGACCAAUUCAGUUUGUCCGUGAUGUGUACGCCGAGGAACUUAAAACUUACUACCCUCUCCACUACUGUCCCGUCGAUGUGGAUAGGGGGGGUGCUCCCUCUGCUGUUUCCUGAAGUCCCCAAUCAUCUCCUUUGUUUUGUUGACGUUGAGUGUGAGGUUAUUUUCCUGACACCACACUCCGAGGGCCCUCACCUCCUCCCUGUAGGCCGUCUCGUCGUUGUUGGUAAUCAAGCCUACCACUGUAGUGUCGUCCGCAAACUUGAUGAUUGAGUUGGAGGCGUGCAUGGCCACGCAGUCGUGGGUGAACAGGGAGUACAGGAGAGGGCUCAGAAUGCACCCUUGUGGGGCCCCAGUGUUGAGGAUAAGCGAGGGUGGAGAUGUUGUUACCUACCCUCACCACCUGGGGACGGCCCGUCAGGAUGUCCAGUACCCGGUUGCACAGGGCGGGGUCGAGACCCAGGGUCUCGAGCUUGAUGACGAGUUUGGAGGUUACUAUGGUGUUAAAUGCUGAGCUGUAGUCGAUGAACAGCAUUCUCACAUAGGUAUUCCUCUUGUCCAGAUGGGUUAGGGCAGUGUGCAGUGUGGUUGUGUCGUCUGUGGACCUUUUGGGGCGGUAAGCAAAUUGGAGUGGGUCUAGGGUGUCAGGUAGGGUGAAGGUGAUAUGGUCCUUGAUUAGUCUCUCAAAGCACUUCAUGAUGACGGAAGUGAGUGCUACGGGGCGGUAGUCGUUUAGCUCAGUUACCUUAGCUUUCUUGGGAACAGGAACAAUGGUGGCCCUCUUGAAGCAUCUGGGAACAGCAGACUGGGAUAAGGAUUGAUUAAAUAUGUCCGUAAACACACCAGCCAGCUGGUCUGCGCAUGCUCUGAGGAUGCGGCUGGGGAUGCAGCCUUGCAAGGGUUAACACGUUUAAAUGUUUUACUCACGUCGGCUGCAGAAGGAGAGUCCGCAGGUUUUGGUAGCGGGCCGUGUCAGUGGCACUGUAUUGUCCUCAAAGCGAGCAAGGAAGUUAUUUAGUCUGUCUGGGAGCAAGACAUCCUGGUCCACGACGGGGCUGGUUUUCUUUUUGUAAUCCGUGAUUGACUGUAGACCCUGCCACAUACCUCUUGUGUCUGAGCCGUUGAAUUGCAACUCUACUUUGUCUCUAUACUGACGCUUAGCUUGUUUGAUUGCCUUGCGGAGGGAAUAGCUACACUGUUUGUAUUUGGUCAUGUUUCCGGUCACCUUGCCCUGGUUAAAAUCAGUAGUUGGCGCGUUCAGUUUCGUGCGAAUGCUGCCAUCAAUCCACAGUUUCUGGUUUGGGAAUGUUUUAAUUGUUGUGGGUACGACAUCGCCGAUGCACUUUCUAAUGAACUCGCUCACCGAAUCAGCGUAUUCGUCAAUGUUGUUGUUGGACGCAAUGCGGAACAUAUCCCAAUCCACGUGAUCGAAGCAGUCUUGAAGCAUGGAAUCAGAUUGGCCGGACCAGCGUUGAACAGGCCUGAGCGCGGGAGCUUCUUGUUUUAGUUUCUGUCUGUAGGCUGGAAGCAACAAAAUGGAGUCGUGGUCAGCUUUUCCGAAAGGAGGGCGGGGGAGGGCCUUAUAUGCGUCGUGGAAGUUAGAAUAACAAUGAUCCAGGGUUUUACCAGCCCUGGUUGCGCAAUCGAUAUGCUGAUAGAAUUUAGGGAGUCUUGUUUUCAGAUUAGCCUUGUUAAAAUCCUCAGCUACAAUGAAUGCCGCCUCAGAAUAUGUGGUUUCCAGUUUACAUAGUCAAAUAAAGUUCGUUCAGGGCCAUCAAUGUGUCUGAUUGGGGAAUAUAUACGGCUGUGAUUAUAAUCGAAGAGAUUUCCCUUAGAUAAUGCGGUCGACAUUUGAAUGUGAGGAAUUCUAAGUCAGGUGAGCAGAAGGACUUGAGUUCCUGUAUGUUGUUAUGAUCACACCACGUCUCGUUAAUCAUAAGGCAUACCCCCCCGCCCCUCUUCUUACCUUAAAGAUGCUUGUUUCUGUCGGCGCGAUGCGUGAAGAAACCAGCUGGCUGCACCGACUCCGAUAGCGUCUCUCGAGUGAGCCAUGUUUCCGUGAAGCAAAGAACGUUAGUCUCUGAUGUCUCUCUGGAAGGCAACUCUUGCUCUCUUGUUGUCAAGAGACUGGACAUUGGCGAGUAGUAUGCUAGGGAGUGGUGCGCGAUGUGCCCGUCUCCGGAGCCUGACCAGAAGACCGCUUCGUUUGCCCCUUUUACGGCGACGUUGUUUAGGUUCGCCGGCUGGGAUCAGAUCCAUUGUCCUGGGUGGAAUGCAAAACACAGGAUCCGCUUCGGGAAAGUCAUAUUCCUGGUCGUAAUGAUGGUGAGUUGACGUUGCUAUUAUAUUCAGUAGUUCCUCCCGACUAUGUAAUAAAACCUAAGAUUACCUGGGGUGCAAUUGAUAAACAAUGGUAGUUCACCGUGAGACAAUUACUAUAAAACAAAUCUGUUUUCCUCAGUGAAUGCAUGGUGUUUUGUCCUCAGUCCUUCUUUUGAAUGUUGUAUGUACUGAUUCAGUUGUAAACGACCGUCGAAUCCUUCCUCACAUCCUCGAUCACUGCAACGGAGUGUCUGGUCUUCUGAGAGGUUCCUUGGCUGCCGCCUGCCCUCCAUCGAGGUCCUGCAGGGCAUGGAAGCGUGCAGGAAAGAUCAUCGCCGACCCCUUCCAUCCCCUCUUCCAAAGGCUCCCCUCUGGCAAAUGGUUCAGGUCAAUCACGACCAAAACCUCCCGCCACCUGAACAGUUUCUUCCCCAGCGCCGUGGCCCUCACCAACUGGCCACCUGGUCCACGGAUCAUCCUCUCAUCCACAGACUAUGUACCUUGCACUCUUCGCAUCUCUUACAUGCAUCAUUUAUGUAUUGUAGCUUAACGUUUUUAGUUUAGUGUUCAUUGUAUAUACACUGUGGAUCUGCAUCUAUAUUUGGUCUGCCAACACCAUUUCAGAGUCACAUUCCUGUACAUGCAAAUGGAUUUGUCGAAAUAAAGCUGAUUCUGACAUGUUAA